CCUAUCCGCCUCCCCUCCUCUCUCCCAACGACCAGACCAGAGCCAGAGAUCUGCCUCCCUCCCUCCCCUCCCCGAGCGCGACGGCUAGGGUUCCUCGCCGCCGCCGGCCCGCCGCCGUUCCUCUGCGGCGCGCCCAGCCGGCCGAGGCCCCCGCCGCCCCGCCGCCCGCACCGGAGCCCAGCAGCGCCUCCCUCCCUCCCUCCCGCCCUGCCGCGGCUGGUCCCGCCGCCUGGAGCGACCCCGGCGACCGGUCCAUAGGUAGCCGGUUGCGCCCUCUGGUGGUGGAUCUCGGGCCAACUAUUCUGGAUGCAUCUAUGACAUGGUGGACAAGGCAGCAGAAACGAGUCAGCGUGAGGUGGCAGCCGAGGGAGUUGUUUUGUGGGAUGAAGCAUUGGUAAAGACAAGCCCAGAGGAUCUGCAGAUGCGUUGCAAGGAGUUGCGCUGUUAUAAUGACAUCACUGUCAUGUGUUUGAAGAAAGAUGUUAACUGUGACCUGGAAAAGGAUGGUUUGUGGCCAAAAAUUGAAGCUGAGGUCUCUACUCCUGCCCACCAAGAUUCAGUUCCUUUGAAUUUUGGGUGUAACCUUGCUGUUUGUUUGGAUGGCAAGGCUGGUGAGAUUGGUGAAGUAUCUGAACACAGAACUGGCAUGGAGAGAGCGGCUUGUGGCUCACAGGGAGGAGGUAUGCUGUCAUUUGACCGUGGAUUCUGGAAGGGGGCUGUUGGAGACAAGAAUCAGUUUCCCAGGAUGGAAGGAUGCCAUGAAAAUGGGGGCUUGUCAGAUUUGGGAAACCAUGACACUGACAAGUUUCCACAAGGUGCUGAUGCCCUGAGUUUGAUCGAUGAUAAUCAUGAGCUGGGAAGGGAUUGUUUUCUGGCAAAUAUCGAUGAAGAGGUGUCCUUCCCCGUUGAUGAAGCUUCGAUCCCUUCCUUCUACCAGAAGAGCUAUAUGGAUGUUUUUGUAGAAGAUAGCAAGUCAUGCAUAGAGAAAUUAACUCAAGAUUCACUGGAAGGAGAUAUGCUUUCAUGUGAGCGCGAUGCCAGAUUUCGUACUGAGGCUUCUGGAGACGAGAAUCAACAUCAUAGGAUGGCGGUGUCAAAGGGUCAGGUUUCAUCUAUUUGUAAAGAUGCAAAUAGUCCGAGUUUAAAUGCUUGUGGUCUCUUUCCUGAAAUAGAAGUUCUACGCCAACAGGCUGACAAAGAAUACAAGGUCUUUGAACUACCCCCAGAGAUAUACCUGGCUAGAUCUUCCUAUAACCCACCUUGCCUAGAUGGACUUUGUCGUAGUGGCAAGGAAUCAUCUGCUGUGUGCCUGGGCCAUCAAGAUUCUUCUGGUGUCAAAUCACGUUGUCCAGAUCAUUUGGUACAAGAGCUCAAUGCAUAUAACUCUUCCAUUGACAAACCUUGCUCUGCCAAUUUUGUUGAAACUGCCAAUGAUGAAGAAUCACAAAAUAAAAUUUCGGAGUCAUUAAAUGCCUCCAAGCGUAGGAAUCCAAGAAGAGCCGCCUCAUCAAGAAAUCGCGCUCCUGCGGAACAUGAUCAUCAAAUAAACAAAGGAAGCAGUAGCACAUGCAAAUCUAAGAAGGUUGAGAGUUCGUGCUCAUUAGUUGAAAGCACCUUGAUUAAGUUCCCAAGCAAAACUACCAAGGUAAGAAGUGGCAUCAACAGACCAGUGAAUUCGACUGCCUGGGGCAGUCUAGAAAAGCUGGUGGAUGGUUUUGGUCAGAACUGUGAACCUUCUACCUCUAAUUCUCAUCUGAUUUCCCUUGAAAAUGGUGGGAGAUCAAACAAAAGAUCUGGGAAGAAAGAGCAGCCCAUUGUUCGAAAGGCUCGAAGUUCAAGAUGUCCAAAAAAUAAGUUCCCUGCCUUUUCUGUUACCAGAUAUGCACCGGAUGAAUUGAAUGGCGAACCUACCUUUUCAGUCAUGGAUGGUGCUUAUGGCUCCGCAGAAGGUUACAUAGGAAACUUCCCUAAGUUGGCUCCUCGUGCAUUUCUCAAUGUUUCUGAUGAUGCUCACAGAUCUGUGCAACAUAUGUCUAUCCAGACUGACAUGCAGCAGUUAGACAGGUGCUUGGAUAGUGUUGCUCAAGAAACAUGUCCUGCGUACAUGUGUGGAGAGUUUGCUAAAUCAAUUUCCGAACCUUCUCUUAAUAAUGGCGGUGUUGGAUUUUCACCCGACUCUGUUUUGGAGGUAGCCUCUGUUACAUGUGAAAACAACACCUCUGCAAGCCAUGAUGUUAAACUGCGUGGGAACCCAUCUUAUCCUGCUGUAUUGACCGAAAGUGAUCUUCAUGCAUCUGAUUUAUCUAUUCCUGACUUUGGAAAAAAUCAUGCGUCAUCAUCAACAGAUUUUGAGCAGCAGCCCAAAACUGUGAGGGGUGAUGAGAACACAAGAAGCGAAGAGAUUAAUCAGUCUCAUGCCAUAAUUGGUUAUGUUGGUGAGGGAAAAGUGCAAGGCUUAGAGAAGUCCAAUGCAGUGAGGAAAACUAAGAUGUUGGAAAAGCAGAAAGGCCGAAAGAAAGAUGGAAUAAAGGGAAAUAACAUAAGGGAUGGAAGUUCCACCAAAAUUUCAUCAAGUGAAGCUUCAAAAUACAGGGUCUUCUCCGAUGAUCCAUCUUCACUUGUUUCAUCAGGACCUUUAAAGUUCAGUUCUUGUUUUGAGGUCGUAACUUCUGCCACACAGGGUAUCAGUAUGCAUGAACAUGGCUGGGUGCAGGGUCCUUCUGUAAUUGGCAAGGAGAAAACGAGUGCACUUAACAAUGUAAAAUCACCGAGGUGCAAGAAAAGUGGUGGUCUUAGAGGGAAGAAGGAUAUGGUGCGGGAUCCACAUGUGAAGCAAGAAAGCAAGAAGAAAAAUAUAGCAGAUGCCAUUUUCAUUGAUUCUGGAUCGUCUACUUUACCUUAUCAGCUCGCUACUGAUCUGGCAACAUCUCAUACGAAUGAACACGGUUAUCGUAGUCCAGCUAUUGAAUAUACAUUUCAGAAUCCAGCCGCUAUAUCUACCGAAUUACCUGGAAAUGCUGCUGGCUCAACAGGUGGGGUAUCUGUACCGCAGCCUAAACGUGCUGCAUGGGCAUGUUGUGAUGAUUGCCAAAAGUGGCGCUGCAUACCAUCUGAAUUGGCAGACGUCAUUGGAGAAAACAGAUGGACUUGCAAGGACAAUGAUGACAAGGCGUUUGCUGAUUGUUCUAUACCACAAGCGAAGACAAACGCUGAGAUCAAUGCUGAGCUUGAACUUUCAGAUGCUUCUGCUGAUGAAGCUGACAAGGAUGGAUCAAACUCAAAAGCUUCUAGGGCACCGUCCUGGACAAAUCUUAGAUCGAACACAUAUCUACAUCGUAACCGAAGGAAUCAAUCCAUCGAUGAGAGCAUGGUAUGCAACUGCAAGCCUCCUCAAGAAGGCCGAAUGGGUUGUAGAGAUGGCUGUUUGAACAGAAUGCUCAACAUUGAAUGUGCAAAACGUACAUGUCCAUGCGAGGAGCAAUGUUCUAAUCAGCAGUUUCAAAGGCGCAACUAUGCAAAAAUUGCAUGGUUCCAUUCUGGUAAGAAGGGCUAUGGAUUGAAGUUGCAAGAAGAAGUAUCUGAAGGGCGGUUCCUUAUUGAAUAUGUUGGCGAGGUCCUUGAUAUAACGACUUAUGAAUCCCGCCAAAGAGAUUAUGCUUCUAAGGGCAAGAAGCAUUUCUACUUUAUGGCACUAGAUGGUGGUGAGGUAAUAGAUGCCUGCACCAAGGGAAACUUGGGCCGGUUCAUCAACCAUAGCUGCAGUCCUAAUUGUCGCACAGAGAAGUGGAUGGUUAAUGGAGAAGUUUGCAUUGGAAUUUUUGCUAUGAGGAACAUCAAAAAGGGUGAAGAAUUAACGUUUGAUUACAACUAUGUUCGUGUAUCUGGUGCUGCUCCUCAAAAAUGUUUUUGUGGCACUGCCAAAUGCCGGGGUUACAUUGGUGGAGACAUAUCAGGGUCUGGUAUCAGCACCCAACAUGUUGCAGAAGCAGAGUAUUUUGAACCCACGGUCACUUACAAGGAUGCCGAGGAAAUGCUAGGAAAUGCAUGUUCUCAUGGUGCAAAUCCUAUUGUUGUUGAGCUUGAGCAUGAAACCUCCAUCCAACAAGAAGAUUCAAAUAACUGCAUACCUGUAACCCCAGACUCUGAACCUCACCAAACUUCCCCUGUAACCCCAGACUCUGAACCUCACCAAACUUCCCCUAUCUUAUUUGAAAAUAGUGAGCUAGAAAAUUCCUGGGAAAUGUGGAGCCCCCAGGAUGCCGAAGACCCCACCCGUACACCUGUCCAUGUGCCCAGAACAAUAGAUAGUACUUUGCAGCAGUUACCAGUAUAUGACACUCAGCCAUUAGAAUUCUUGCCGAAGGCUCCUAACACAAUGGAUGGAUCAGAGGCUCCAAAUGUGAUGAAUCAAUCAGCACGUAGCUCCGAUUUGGGGCAAAACCUGGUGGUACCUGGUUUCCAUGCUAAGAAGAAAAACAAUCUAAAAGAUCAGAGAGAUGUAAAAUCAUCAUCAUGUUCUACUGACAAUGAAAAUACUCUGGGAGUUGAAGCAAGACUGAACAACCUACUGGAUCGAGAUGGAGGUAUUAGCAGACGAAAAGAUUCAACAAAUGGAUAUUUGAGGCUGCUUCUAUUUGUGACCGCAGCAGCACGUGACAAUGCCGCGGCCGCAGCGGCACGUGACAAUGCCGCGGCCUCAGCGGCACGUGACAAUGCGGCGGCCGCAGCAGCAUAUGAUGCGACCGCAAUGGAACAUGAAAAUGCUGCGACCCCAGCAGAACGUGACAAUGCUGGGGGCACAUCUAAAAGUGCAAGGGAUCUGUCGUUAAUUCUUGAUGCACUUCUAAAAACAAAAUCACGCUCAGUCCUGUUGGAUAUCAUCAAUACGAAUGGAUUGCAAAUGCUUCAUAAUAUAUUGAAGCAGAAUCGAGACACCUUUCUUCGAAGACCUAUAAUACGGAAGCUUCUGAAGGUGUUGGAGUUUCUUGCUUUGAAGGGAAUCCUGAGAGCUGAAAAAAUAAAUGAAGAAGCCCCACGUGAGGAAAUGGAAAGAUUCAGGGACUCGAUGUUGAAAUUGACCCGGCAUAGUGAUAAACAGGUCCAAACUAUUGCUCGGCACUUCUGUGAGAAGUGGAUCCAUCCUUAUAUGGAUGGACCUGUUUCAACUUCAAAAUGGUGUACAGAUUCAUAUUCCAAUAGAAGAAAGCGCAAGAGCCGUUGGGAUUAUCAACCAGAAUCCCACUAUAAAAUGGUUGGAUCACUAGUUCGGAAAGUCUAUGGAGAAUUGGGUCUUCAGGCUGGCUUGACCAGAAAUAGGUCGCAGCCUGUGAUGGGAAGCAGCUCAACAGGCACAGACGAUGAUGUGCCUCCUGGGUUUGAGCCUCAGCAGGGUCGUUCUGUAGCUCCAGGAUUCUGCCACCCUAACUUGAAUAUUUCAUAUGGGAUUCCCAUCGCUCAUGUUCAGCACUUGGGAACCCCAGAAGUUGAAGGAGGUGGCAACCGUGGCCAGAAAUGGAAAGUCGCACCUGGUGUGCCUUUUAUUCCUUUCCCACAGUUGCGACGAGGGAGUCCUUGUCCUUCUACUUCAACUCAGAUGUCCUGUCAUGACGCCAUGAGGCAGAACAACAGUUCAGGACAUCGAGGAAGAGGUUUCGACAGAGGUGGAAGGGUGCAAAGGAAUGGGAGGAAUGGGGCAAGAACGAGAUAUCCGUAUGAUCAUCAAGGAAGAAGAUUCCCAAGCAAUCAUCAUAGAUCUGAAAGAUGGCAGCCCUGGCCCGACGAACAUGAUGGUGGUUCAGGAUCUAGGGGCAGACAAUGAAUGACCCAGCCCCUGGCAUCGAACAUCAAUUAGUUGUGUGUAUACAUGGUAAUUCCUUCCUGUUCAUCAGAAGUGUACACAAGCAAACUGUGUUAGCUUCUCAUUCUAUGUAACAGAAGUUUUCUACUGAUUCCAACAGUAGCAGAACAUGUGCUACAGAUAGGCCAAAAUUGCUAAUUCAUUCGUUGUCAACUUCUUGAUGUUCAGUGUGAGCGGCAAUCAAUCGGAGGAAGGACUAGUACGAUUUUCAUUGUAAUUUUAAUUUUUUUUACUGGUCGUUCUGCCUCCAAUUGUCUUUCUUUGUACUGGCCGUUUUUCUGGAUAAUAAUUAUCAGUUCUAAGAUGCCCUUCGGGUGUCUUUCUUGAAGAAAAAAACUUCUUGAUGUCCA